ensembl:lncRNA
CCGAAAGUGAGACUGUCGGGAAGAGGUCUCAGGAGAAUAACAACAAUGAUGACCACUUGCUGCCGCUGUUCCAGAUGCAGUGUGAUCAGCUGCCUCAUGCUCCUGCUGCCAUGUCUUCUCCGCCAUGAUGGGCUGUGCGUUCAAACUACCAGGGCUUCACGUGUACUAAAUACUCAGGCAGUGAGCUAUCUCCAGCCCUAAGCCAUUUCCUAAGACUGCAGAUGAGGACAGUUCCAGGUUUGCCCUUCUGAGCGUGAGUAGUGAUGAGAUUAGAACACGAGGACCUUCCCUUCAAAUGAAGGCUCGGCUGGUCCUACACUGCUGCGUCUUCCUCCUCCAUCACUUGGAAGAAUCCAGCCGCGACUUGGACCAUGUUGUUUGGCAGAGUUGUAUGGGCAGGUGCCACAGUGUAGAAUGUGACUGAGCGCGGAAUCUGUUACAAGAGUGAGCACAUAUGUCUG